AUGAAACGGUCAAAGCAAAAAUAUUUUAUAUCACACCGACCGUCCCUAGAGCAAGUGGCAAAUGGCUUGGUGGUUGGUACCUGAGACCCAAGUUUGAAUCCUAGUUGAUUCACAUUUCCGGCUAAGUGUGGUUUCGCACUUUCUCACUUUAGUACCCUAUAGUUUAAAGUGUAUCAAUUUAGUACCAUAUAAUUUUGCACUUUCUCACUUUAGUACUAUAUGCUUUCAAGUGUAUCAAGUUAGUACCCCGUGGUUUUCUUUUUGUAUCAAUUUAGUAUCCUGCGGUUUUCAUUUUAUCUUUUUAUUAUCCAUUUUGGGAUAUAUAAUUUAACGAAAUAUUAAACCACAGAGUACUAAAGUGAGAAAGUGCGAAACCACAUGGCACUAACUUGAUAUACUUGAAACCACAGGUACUAAAGUGAAAAAGUGCGAAAUCAUAUAUACUAACUUGAUACACUUUAAACCAUAGGGUACUAAAAUGAGAAAGUGCGAAACCACACGGGGUAUUUGAAGUUUCUCCUGACGUGACUGAAUUAUAUAUAGAAUAUAUCCUUUAAUAUCGAGUUUAAUGACUCACUUGUACUGUGCCCGUCCAGGGGGAUACCAACCCUAAUUACUGCAACGUGUUAUGUCCAUUCACGUACAGUGCAACUUAUUGUUCUAACACCCCUAUAUUUAUUAGUAAAUUAAAGUAGCAGCAUUUUAAUUGGUGGCCGUUGGGUUGAUCCAUAUAUCUUUUAUCUAUAUCUAUACUAUAUAUAAAAGCACGUAUUUUAAAUUUAGGUCUGUCGACAGACCCAUUUUUUAGCGGAAAAAAUAUUGAUUCCUUUUUCCGUACGUAAAAUAAAUAACGUAAUGAAACAAAUUUUUAAUUUCUGUUUAUCCCUAAAAUAGAAAAAAAUAUACUUAUCCAAAUUUUUGCCAACCCAAAGAUAUCUACUAUGAAUUUAUAUUUUAAUUAAAAAAUUAUUUAAUUUUUUUAUCUCUAAAAUAGAAAAAAAUUAUACUUAUCCAAAUUUUACCAGAAUAUCUACUGUAAAUCUAUAUUUCAAUUCAAAAUUUAAAAGUAAUUUAC
rnacentral:lncRNA from 1 species